CGUGAGAUGUCAGGUUAAGUCCUGUAACGAGCGCAACCCUCAUCGCUAGUUAUACGUGUCUAGCGAGACCGCCCGUGAUAAGCGGGAGGAAGGUGGGGAUGACGUCAAGUCAGCAUGGCCUUUAUAUCCUGGGCUACACACACGCUACAAUGGCCAGUACAAUGGGUAGCCAAGUCGCGAGACGGAGCCAAUCCUGUAAAGCUGGUCUCAGUUCGGAUUGCAGGCUGCAACUCGCCUGCA
rnacentral:rRNA from 1 species